rnacentral:lncRNA from 1 species
CUCCCUCCUUGGCGGCUCCAGCUGCAGCAGGGCCCUAGGCCGAUCUUUCCUACCUUCAAUUCGGCGUCGAAUGAAUCUGUCGAGCCGACCUCAUCUGAUGAGCUCCUCGAUCUCGUCUCAGAGCUGAAUACACUUCUCCGUGUCAUGGCCAUGGUCAUGAUGAUAGAGGCAGAAUUUGUUUGGGUUGUACUUCCUGAGAUGCGAGCGCAUCCUUUCCGGCCUUGGCAGCUGCUCCCUAACCUCCAUCAGCACUUGAGUUUUCAAUGUGUUGAGAGGG